GGUUGUAUUUGUCGAGAAAGGAAAUGUUGCUUUUUGACAGAUGAGAGAAAUCCCCUCAGUGUUGGCCAUGAGAGGAGAGAAGUGAAGUCAGUCACCUGGUGGUGAAGGACAGUAAAACAGGAAAGAAGGGGGAAAAAAAUCUCUCUUCCCCCUUUCUCUCUCUUUUCUGCAAAGAGAUCCACCUCCUAUUUUCCUCUCAACUCUUUUAGCAUAACCCUUCAAAGGAGACCAUUCCCUACAGACUGUAUUAUCUUUAUUUUUAUUGAGAAAAUAUCUUUAGCAGAAAAACAAUUUUUUGAGUCUAUGCAGGACUUGGCGGAUUUUCUUUCCGGUGAAAUUGAUCAUUGCUAAUGUCUGAGGCUCACAAGUGCUACAUUAGCUACCAGAAUAACGGAGACAGGCUGUCAUGAGAUACUCUUCUCAUCAGUUUGACCACAUUUGCCUGAAAUUUGCUGCAGGAUGCUGUCCAGUGAAGCAGUUUUUUUCCUUGGGAUGCAGCAGUUCGCUGCUUUCUAAGCUUAUUGCAGACGAAGAAAUAGUCAGUUUAAACUGAGUGGAUUUUUAUUAAUUAUUAUUAUUAUUAUUAUUGGCUUCUCUCCUCCUUUCAUUGACACGGGAUUUACCGGGGAAAGAUCACCUGUCGCUAUAAUCCGUCGGGGAGUAAAAAAAGUGAAUUAUUAUUUUAUUUAUUUAUUUUUCACCGGUGGAGGAGGCGUGAUCACGGAGAAUGAGACUGAGAGGAGCUGCCAGGGUUUGGAGGACAAGGCUGAGUUUGGGCUGGAAACUGGGAGUCUAGAUUUAAAAAAAAAAAAAAAAAAAUUUGGCACAACUUCCCUGGUUCGCCUCCGUGUCGUUUAGUUUCAUUCUAUGGACAGAUCCACAAGCCUGGACAUUGAGGAGCUCAAGAUGACACGAGAACAGUAUAUACUGGCAACACAGCAGAACAGCCUGCCAAGGAUUGAAAAUCCGCAACUUUAUCCAGUGGGAAUUUAUGGAUGGCGAAAGAGGUGCUUAUACUUCUUUGUCCUUCUGCUGUUGGUUACCAUGAUUGUUAACUUAGCAAUGACAAUAUGGAUUUUGAAGGUUAUGAAUUUCACAGUGGAUGGAAUGGGGAAUCUGAGAGUCACCAAAAAAGGAAUUCGACUUGAAGGCAUAUCUGAAUUUCUACUUCCAUUGUAUGUGAAAGAAAUACAUUCCCGAAAGGAUAGCCCAAUGGUCUUACAGUCUGACAGGAACAUAACAGUGAAUGCAAGAAAUCACAUGGGACAGUUAACUGGACAACUGACUGUAGGAGCUGAUGCUGUGGAGGCCCAGUGUAAGAGAUUUGAAGUGAGGGCAAGUGAAGGUGAAAAGGUGCUGUUUUCUGCAGAUGAAGAUGAGAUUAUCAUUGGAGCUGACAGACUCACAGUAACAGGCACAGAAGGGGCAGUGUUUGGGCACUCUGUGGAGACACCCCAUAUCAGAGCAGAACCUUCCCAAGACCUCAAACUUGAGUCUCCAACUAGAUCUUUGAUAAUGGAAGCACCAAGGGGAGUACAAGUUAGUGCAGCUGCAGGAGACUUAAAGGCAACCUGUAGGAAAGAACUGCACUUGCAGUCCACGGAAGGGGAGAUAUUUUUAAAUGCAGAUAUAAUCCGACUGGGAAAUCUACCAAUGGGUUCCUUUUCAUCUUCCCCAUCUAGCUCCUCAACUCCUCGACAGACUAUCUAUGAGCUCUGCGUUUGUCCCAAUGGUAAACUGUACCUUUCCCUGGCAGGAGCAGGCUCUACUUGUCAAUCCAGUAGCAACAUCUGUUUGUGGAGCUGAAAUGACUCCAGUUUCUCCUCACACCAGAAUAGCCUUUUGUUACUGUCCCUCUGCUUCACAGUUCUGCUCGGUUUCCUUGUGACAAGUUUGACGCUUCAAAUGGCCCACAGAGCAACUUCUUCCAGUAAUCCAGGAAUGUAAAACAGAUAAAAAAUGUUUCCUAUUGUGGGAAGAUGACUUGAUAACAAUAAGGUAAGUGUGCUUUUAAAUAUUAUCUUUUCAGUUAUCCCACUCAGCUCAUAGUUUUUGCUGUGUCUAACUAUAAGAACACCAGUGCAAUGACUUGCUUCCAAAGCUAACUCUGAAGUUGGGGAGAGCAGUAUUAAAAGGGUAAAAAAUAAAUGAAAAAAUAAAAAGUGAAACUUGGCAACCAUAAUAAUGUGAUUAAUUUUCUGUUUUAGUCUCAUCUAUAGGGUUUAUUUUGUUCACUACAGUGACAUUCACCCUUAUGAAGAAGACCAGCACAAGGUCUAUACACUGCUUCACAGGUACUUGGCCUUGUUCUAGUCUUAUGUGCAGGGAUGAAUUUCACCAAAAAGGAAGAGCUAUCCCCUCCGCUACUACAUAGUCAAACAAGGAUUUUAAUUAGACUACUUCAUUUGCUCAGAUUUCUUCAGCUGUUAACUAUUGAGUUUUGAGACUUUAAUUCCUUGUCUUUAAUAAAGAAAAAUACUUCUGUUUGUUAGUCAUUUGUUUUACUUUUUCUGGUAUGCUAAUUCUCUGAAUACAGGAAAUAAAGUAGCAGCAUUGUAAGAAAACUGUAGGAAUUGUCAAUGUUUACUUGACCUUCAAACGACCUUAUGAGGAAAGAGAUAUCUUUCAUUUGGGCACAUAGGUAACAAAACAUAGGUAACAUAGGUAACAAAAUGUAUGUGUAAAACUCAUCAACACAAAUGAUAUUCCAAGGAGAGGAGGACACCACUGAAUGAGUGUGUGUGUCUGAGCUCAUACAUUCUAUCACCUGUGCUCACGUGCGUAUGCUGGUAAUUUAAAAGAUGGGCAAAAAAUUGCAGAGAAUCAUUGAUUUGGUUAAUUUAACCCUUUGUGCUGUUCUCAAAGUGUUCGUGAAUAGACUGAAUAAUUCUUUGCUGUUUAAAGUGUAUUGCAGAAUAUUUGUGCAAACAAAUGUCAGCCUGUGGGAACGGCUUGCAAUAGUUUGCUGUGAGUAUUCCCUUGAGUAUUCUCCAUUCAUGAUAUUCAAACUGUAUGAGUGGUCACCUGAAUACGAUAGAGUUUUGGUUCCCUGGCUGAAUGACCUAACUUGUAUAAACUACUUCUGCGUGAACUGAAAUUCAUUACAUUGCAAAAACAAAUUUAAUUAUGUGAUGAGAUUAAUUUUAGCUACAAGACUGAAUUCAUUUUCCACUAACAUUUGUAUGUUCGGUAUUGCCAACUCUUGCAAAUGUUAAUGUGAGUCUUGUGAAAUUGGACAUUUUAUUUUAAGCCCCAGCUCCUGGAAACAAGUGAAUAUG